ACCAGCAGCCAAAUCACCCUGCAACUCACAACUGGCCUGGUCAGUACCUGGAUGGGAGACCUCCUGGGAAAACUAAGGUUGCUGCUGGAA
rnacentral:rRNA from 1 species